CCCAGCUCUUUUGGGACUACAAUUUCCAUCAUCCCUGACUGGUCCUGUUAGCUAGGGAUGAUGGGAAUUGUAGUCCCAAAACAGCUGGA